UUAUUUAUAAAGCUUGUUUGGAACCUAUUAAAAAUGAUAACUAUGAAAAAUAAUUUAAUGUUUAAGUAAUGCUUAAUAAAAAAAACUAAAAAAACUAUAGUUUAUUAGUACUGUAGAGGAAAGAUUAACAGUAAUUUAGGCAGUAAGUAUAAACAUUUAUACCUUGUGUAUCAGGGAAAAUCAAUAUAAUUUAAUUAACUUAAAUAUCCCGAAAUAAGAAUAGCUAAAUUUAUAUUACUGUAUUUGUGGAAUAAAAGUGUUUAAUGUAAAUUUAAAGGUGAAAUGCUAUUAGAGUCUUAUUUUAUCUGGUUUUCUUAGAAUAAAGUUUAAUUUUAACUUUAAGUAAAAAGUAACUUAAAGUGAAAGUGUAGGAGGGCUUAGCUUCUUAUAUGAAGUAUAAUUAAAAGCAAAGUCAUUAAUUUUGUUAAAGUUAGGCUUAGAAGUAGCCAUAUUAAUAAAGUGUUAUAACUAAAUGAAAUACGAAGGAUAUUUAUAAUUGCUUUAAUAAAGUAUAAGAAAAUUAUGUAUAACUUAAAAAAAUAAGUUAUAAUGAUUUUAUUAGUAGAGUAUUGGUGUAAAUUGUAUAACUAGAAUAAUUAACACAUUUAGUAAGAACAUUAGAAUAUAAAGGAACUCGGCAAAAAUUUUUCUUGCCUGUUUAUCAAAAACAUGUCUGUUUGAUAUUAUAAAGAGUCUGACCUGCCCACUGAGUGAAAGCUUAAAGGGCCGCGGUAUUUUGACUGUGCAAAGGUAGCAUAAUCGUUUGGUUUUUAAUUGAAAUCUUGUAUGAAUGGUCCGACAAAGAAAGAAUCUGUCUUUAUUUUAAAUAAUUGAAUUUAACUUUUAAGUGAAAAGGCUUAAAUAAAUUAAAAAGACGAUAAGACCCUAUAAAACUUUACAUAGAGGCUCAUUAAAUUUAUUUAUUGAUUAUAAAGAUUUAAUGAAGCAGUCUAUGUUAUGUUGGGGUGACAUGUGAAUAAUGGUUAGUAACUAUUUAAAUUUAAAUACAUUUAUCUGUGGUUGAAUGUAAAAUGAUCCUAAUUAGAGAUUAAAAGUUUAAGUUACUUUAGGGAUAACAGCGUUAUUUUGUUUGAGAGUUCUUAUCGAAAACUGAGAUUGCGACCUCGAUGUUGAAUUAAAAUUUCUC
rnacentral:rRNA from 1 species